rnacentral:rRNA from 1 species
UACGGGGGAGCAAGCGUUGUUCGGAUUUACUGGGCGUAAAGGGCGCGUAGGCGGCCAGCGCAAGUCAGUUGUGAAAUCUCCGGGCUUAACUCGGAAAGGUCAACUGAUACUGCGCGGCUAGAGUGCAGAAGGGGCAACUGGAAUUCUCGGUGUAGCGGUGAAUGCGUAGAUAUCGGGAGGAACACCUGUGGCGAAGGCGGCUUUCUGGGCCUUACCUGACGCUGAGACGCGAAAGCGUGGGGAGCGAACCGG